rnacentral:tRNA from 1 species
GUAUGGCUAAUUAGUAGAACACUUGCCUAGCAUGCAUGAAGCUCUGGGUUCAACUCCCAGUAC